AUUGAACGCUGGCGGCAGGCCUAACACAUGCAAGUCGAGCGCGCGGCGGACGGGUGAGUCAUGUAUGGGGACUGCCCGAUCGAGGGGGAUAACUACUGGAAACGGUGGCUCAUACCCCAUACUGUCGGAUAACCCAUAUUGGAUUAGCUAGUAGGUAGGGUAAUGGCUUACCUAGGCGACGCUCCCUAGCUGGUCUGAGAGGAUGAUCAGCCACACUGGGACUGAGACACGGCCCAGACUCCUACGGAGGCAGCAGUGGGGAAUAUUGCACAAUGGGCGCAAGCCUGAUGCAGCCAUGCCGCGUGUAUGAAGAAGGCCCUAGGGUUGUAAAGUACUUUCAGUCGGGAGGCGUUACCGGCAGAAGAAGCACCGGCUAACUCCGUGCCAGCAGCCGCGGUAAUUC
rnacentral:rRNA from 1 species